rnacentral:tmRNA from 1 species
GGGGAUGCAUUGCAUCGACGUAAGAGCACUUUUAAAAAUUGCAGGCCGACAUGAUUAAAGUCGUAAAAUUAAUCAAAAUAUAAAUGCUAAUAAUCUUAGCAGACAAUCUCUUCUUGCAAAGCGAGACGCAAUUCUUGCAGAACUUGGAUAGAUUGGACAACCAGCUCUAGCACUAGCUGCUUAAGCUAUAGUCUGUUUCUAGUAUUUUUCCUCAAUGGAAUAAUAGAAGCAUAAAUUUAGUUGAGGAAAUUAAUAAAGACUUCGGUAAAGUCUUUGUCGAAUUUAUUUAACCUUGGUUUUGUUUAAUCCUUUCAGUUGGAAAAAAACAAAACGACAAUUAAAAACUGAAUAAGCUUGUAGAUAUUUUUAAUCGUAACUUAUGGACUCCGGGUCACUCCCGGACAUCUCCACUA